AGCCGGCCACCUGGCCCGUCCCUGACGCUGAGGCGCGAAAGCGUGGGGAGCGAACCGGAUUAGAUACCCCGGGUAGUCCACGCCCUAAACGAUGCGCACUAGGUAUGGGGGGGCUGACCACGCUCUCCGUGCCGAAGCUAACGCGUUAAGUGCGCCGCCUGGGUAGUACGGCCGCAAGGCUGAAACUCAAAGGAAUUGGCGGGGGCCCGCACAAGCAGCGGAGCGUGUGGUUUAAUUCGAUGCAAAACGAAGAACCUUACCCGGGCUUGACAUGCCGGUGGUACCGACCCGAAAGGGAAGGGACCCCGCAAGGGGAGCCGGCACAGGUGCUGCAUGGCUGUCGUCAGCUCGUGCCGUGAGGUGUCGGGUUAAGUCCCGCAACGAGCGCAACCCCUGCCCCUAGUUACACGUGUCUAGGGGGACUGCCGGCGACAAGCCGGAGGAAGGUGGGGAUGACGUCAAGUCAGCAUGGCCUUGAUGCCCGGGGCUACACACACGCUACAAUGCCCGGUACAAUGGGUUGCCAACCCGCGAGGGGGAGCCAAUCCCAUCAAAGCCGGGCUCAGUUGGGAUUGCAGGCUGCAACCCGCCUGCAUGAACGCGGAGUUGCUAGUAACCGCCGGUCAGCCAUACGGCGGUGAAUACGUUCCCGGGCCUUGCACACACCGCCCGUCACGUCAUGGGAGUCGGCAACGCCUGAAGCCGGUGGCCCAACCCUCCCCCUCCCAGGGCCCCUC
rnacentral:rRNA from 1 species